UACGUAGGGGGCAAGCGUUGUCCGGAUUUAUUGGGCGUAAAGAGCGUGUAGGCGGCCAGGUAGGUCCGUUGUGAAAACUCGAGGCUCAACCUCGAGACGUCGGCGGAAACCCUCUGGCUAGAGUCCGGAAGAGGAGAGUGGAAUUCCUGGUGUAGCGGUGAAAUGCGUAGAUAUCAGGAGGAACACCGGUGGCGUAGACGGCUUUCUGGACCGUAACUGACGCUGAGACACGAAAGCGUGGGUAGCAAACAGG
rnacentral:rRNA from 1 species